rnacentral:lncRNA from 1 species
CUGGAAAAAUGAAGUUUACAAUCUUGAGACUGUGCCGAGGGGAGAGCACAGCAACUCAACAGCCUCACGGGGACGGUGAGGCAAAAGAGAAGCAGGAGCAGGGUCCCUGCUGCGCAGGCCAGACAGAAGAAGAGCGCCCUGGGAAACGAUCCUGGGGCUCUCAGGGCACUGCCCGGCACGGAGGAACAAGGAGACCACUAUCUGCACAGCUGCCUGGGCUCUGGGGAGCAGGGACAGGACUGCAGACGUGGAGGGACACGGGGGAAGCUGCCUGCGUCAGUGACUCGGUAUGCCUUGCUCUGGAGAAGUCUGGCCCUCUCCUCACCUCUACACGAAGCCCCAAGCCUGUUCCCGUGUACGCAGUCUCCCCCAGCCAGCAGGCAACAGAGGCUCCUUCCCUGUGAGCAGUGAGGGGCAGGGAGGCGACAGGCUGGGGAGCUGCGGCCCGCACGACAGAGAGCUUUCUGAUGGAACGUGAAAUGGCCUUUGUUGUAAGAGGAGAAAGCGCGCUCUAACUCCUCGGGAUGAGCUAGCCCAGGUCCGGCUCCGGGCUCAGACGCUGGUGCUCUCGGUGAAUGGAGAAAGAUCUCUACUAAGUCACUGGUCACGUGCUGUCCUGACCAUGGCAACCGUGGGUCCCCACUCCCGAGAGUCCUGCACUUCGUCACCCGUCACCGGACAGCAUGCCACCCAUUUCUGGGGACAGAAGCCCUGCUGGCCCCAAGCCUCUCUUAAAGGAAUGUGACCACCGC